GAUGAACGCUGGCGGCAUGCCUAAUACAUGCGAGUCGAACGAGAUGAGAAGAAGCUUGCUUCUUUGAAUCUAGUGGCGAACGGGUGAGUAACACGUAGGUAACCUGCCCAUGUGCCCGGGAUAACUUCUGGAAACGGAUGCUAAAACCGGAUAGGUAGCAGACAAGCAUUUGACUGCUAUUAAAGUGGCCUUGGCCAUGAACAUGGAUGGACCUGCGGUGCAUUAGCUAGUUGGUGAGGUAACGGCCCACCAAGGCGACGAUGCAUAGCCGGCCUGAGAGGGCGGACGGCCACAUUGGGACUGAGACACGGCCCAAACUCCUACGGGAGGCAGCAGUAGGGAAUUUUCGUCAAUGGGGGGAACCCUGAACGAGCAAUGCCGCGUGAGUGAGGAAGGUCUUCGGAUCGUAAAGCUCUGUUGUAAGAGAAAAACGGCACUCAUAGGGAAUGAUGAGUGAGUGAUGGUAUCUUACCAGAAAGUCACGGCUAACUACGUGCCAGCCGCCGCUGUAACAC
rnacentral:rRNA from 1 species